CUUUUACUCAACCCGAGUUACAUGAAGAGAUGGAUUUCACCACAUUGCACAGGCUGAUCCUGAACUCCUGACUUCAUGAUCCGCCCGCCUUGGCCUACCAAAGUGCUGGGAUUACAGGCGUGAGCCACCGCACCCAGCAUUCCUGUAGUUUUAAAAGAGCUGGGACAUAAGAGGAACUGACCUCAUGUAUUUUGGCAUGAGGACACCACAAGCAAAGCUGAGACAGACGGGUGUGUGCGUGUGAUAUAUAACUAACCCUCUACGUUAGAAAGGAGGUUGGGGAAACACUUAUCCAUCAACGUUGCCUAAAUUUCCUCAAAGCUUUUUCUACCUGUAAGUAUCCAAGUUACUCUCUGUGGGCCAAAGCAGAAGUCAAAAAAUCAGACACUGAAUAGUUUGAUGAGAUGAAGAGACACAGAAAACCCACCAGCCAAAAACAACCCUAACAAAUGGAGAGGAAUUUCUCAGUAAUGCACAGAAACUCUUGAGAAAGGGAUAGAUAGGGGUGGGAUUCUGAAAAGUUUCCAGGAAGAGAUGAUACAUUAGCCACCGGUUCAUUAUUAUACUCAAUUAAGAUGUAUAAAAUGUGAUUUAACAUUAUAGUUAGUGUGCUAUUUUAAAAAUCAGCUUAAAAAUAUUUGUAAGCUUUUUUUCGGAGGCUUACCUGCAACUCGAAUGCCCAUCCUUAGCUCUUGUGUUUCUCACACCUUAUCAAGAUCUGGUCAAGGGCCCCAAAGAAACUAAGGGGAAGGGCCUGAUGUGGGCUUAUUUUCUGCCAAUUCAGAUACUUUCCUGUAUCAACAUAUAGGUAGUAGUCUGGUAUCUCAUAUAGCUGAAUGGUAAUGAGAUACUAGCUUUUUACUGAGAAGUGACUUCUUAAUUUUAGUGAUGAACUUUGUCAUCUUCACAUCUCCUUGAAUAACAACUUUAUGGUUAAACAAAACUAGUUUUUCUCUAAUUCUCAGUUGCUCCUGAGAGCAAGCCAAGAACAUCCAGACAGAACCAGAUCUGUCUAUAUUAAUAAUACGUUU
rnacentral:lncRNA from 1 species